CACCUUGAAUACAAGAAAAGCAGACAUCGAAGAACUCAGAGAGAGUAGUACUGGAAAGUAGGAAAGUACAACAGAGGAGAAUACCACAGGAAACUUGAUUGCUGUGCUGGUUGCUUCACUUUUCCUGCUCUGCACACCAGAGGGAGGCUGAGAUACUCCAGAUGCUACAGCUUCAAGAAAAAAAGAAAUACAGCAAGAUUCAAAAGCUGAUAAUUUACAAUACAGCUACUGUAUGUGUUAGUGCAUUUCAAGCCCUCUAACUACUACCUAGGGGUACCCUGUACACUGCAAAAAGGAGGAGAAAACUUCACUUGGCACGAUUGGAGCAGAUAAGCCUCAUCUUUAUUGGUACCCAUAUACUGAUGAUAAGAUAUCAUAAAGAGGUGGUCCAGACUUGAUGUUAAAGUAAAAGCAUUUCUGGCAUAACACUCAUAGUUGUAGCUUGGGUGAAGACAGACUUAUUUCAGUGCCUUACAUGAGACUCCAUGAGAACAAAGUACCCCAUAUCUUGGACAAUAACUAGGUGUGAAGCAGUUGUGCAGUGGGUAUAUAAUAAUAGUCUCUCCUUAUACAGCAGAUCUGUCUCUAGAACUAAUUCAGCCUUAUGUAUACACUGGUGCAAACUACUAAAGGCAAAUUAUGACAUUAUACUUCACAAGUCCUCCAAACAGAUUCUCUUGCUGUUGGAUACAGCUGCAAUCUCAAAUCCCAAACUGAGGUUGUGGAGUUGGUGUUUUAGGAAAAGCAAUGUCCAACUCUCUAGAACUGUUAAUGAAGCACAUGAAAUCAGAUAGGAAAAUCACCUCUUAUUUGUAUGGGUUUGGUCAUUUCCAUGAGGAAAACCAGCAGAGCUUCCUAGCAACUAUAGCAGCUAUCUAGAAAGCAGUGCUGAUUCUCUCUCUUGUUCUUCAGAUAAGCAAAUCCUGGGAAUGUGGUAGAGAAGGUGUGCAUAACAUGCUGCUCAACAGCAGUGUGUCCACCCAAUUUGACUGUGGAAUACAGGGAAGAAGGUUUGUCCAGAAAGCCUAUUAGCAUGGCAUGGGAUACUCAGACACCCAAAGACCAAAAUGGGGAGUAAGGGAGAGGAGAAGUCAGAAGAAUCAUCUUCUCCACUGAGAUAGUAAAGCUUUAACUUUGCAAACUGUUUACUUUGGGGUUUCCUCUAGGUACAAGUAAGGGCCACAGCACAACCCAUGGGGUUGGGUUUUGUUCCUUUCUGACCCUCAAGAAGGGGUUUUAUUCAGUCAUUGGAAUGGGGAAGUCUGGCAAAUCUGAUCCUUUCCAGCUCUGCUGCAGACAUGCUGUUUACUGCCAGGCAGGUCCUAAAUCUAUCCAGACCUAAGGAGUAAAACGAGGUCACACAGGACCUUUCCUAGUAUGUUUAAAUACUCUUCUCUUUCUCCAUACAGACACUCUGCAUGAAUGUGUCAUUUUGAUGAGUCUGUGAGGAAAUGUUGAAAGUAAGUGCAUUUGAGGUGAAAAUGUUCUAUUAGGCAAAAAGAAAAAAAGAAAAAUGGAAAGGGAAUGUUUUAAUUUUUAGAAUGAAAACCAAACAGCAGAGCUUCCUGUGAAAUGGAAAUUCUGUUUCCUUUCAGUGCUAAUGAUAGCAUACUAGCUGUGCUCAUUCAUGGUCCCACUGCUACAAUGGUGGGUGCGGAAUUCUCUCAGCAUGGCGUAUUUCUCUGUGGUUUACUGUCCUGCUACUCCGAGCACCAUAGUAGCUAAAAAUGUCAGCCCUCUUGACCAACAAAUACUAACUGUGCUUUCCUCCAUCCCCUCCACUUCAGUCCUCUUAGGCAACAGGCAAUAUAAUCAUAGCGCAGUUUUCUUAGGGACAGGGUAAGGGCCUCUGCUGAAAUACAGCUGCCCUGCAGUGUGGAGAAGGACAUCAUUCCCCUAAGAUCUGGCAGGAUACAGUAACUAGACCUGCAAAUGUGCUCAUCACAGCAUCUGGCUGACCAGAGCAAAAGGAAGAAAUGGCUCCUGACCUCCCCUGUCUAAGAUGGUUGAGGGAGGGGAUGUGUUUGAACCUGAUGAGGUUUAUAUAGCCUCCUGCUGCAAUGGAGAACAGAGAACUCCGAGGAAUUUUCUCCACACUACUCUGCUUUUUGCUAGUGGGGUUAGGACAGGACCCAGGGACUCUUGUGGCACCUGCACCUGACACAGCAUGGGCCUUUACUGUAAAGACCAACAGCCCAGUGCUCCCCAAAUGUCCCUGAUGAGGCCAUUGCAGUGUAGGGACAGCACAGGUCCUGGGACUGGGACUGUGUGCAGCAGCUGUGCGCAGAAGAGAAGUCGCCAAGCAAGCGCAGAACUGCUCUUGGCCCUGGAAAAGCUCUCCCUCUGCUGAGCUGGUGUAGCAACAGGUAAAAUGAAGAUCUAUCAGGAGCUAGGUGCAGAAAGGAGACAUGGGAAUGGAGGCCUCAAAAAAAGAAAUUAAAUUUGUUAGUAGGUGCAAAGAAGAGGGGAGCCUUCUCAAAAUAAACCUGGUUGCUGCACCUACAUGGCUAAGGGAACCCAGAGCACCAUAGGGAGCCAGCAAAGUGAAACCCAGUCUUGGAUUGCUUCCCCUUGCUUUAUGAGUAAAGUUCACAUGUCUCUGUGCUCCCAAGCUCCUACAGAGAGGCUGGAAAGAGAAGAGCCAUAACAACUGUUGAAUAUUUGCAGUAUUUCCUACUCAGCUGGCUGCAGAAAGCCACAAGCAGUUUCAGUGGAUGCCUUAACUCACAACAUUUGCAGCAAGGUUUAGUACAGCUAUGAGAAUUAGACAGCCUGGACCAAUUCCGAAGGUGUAAAUUAAAAAACUAGCGCAAUUUUUUCUCAUCCUUUUUGUACCGUGAGUGUUAAGAAGAUUUAGUGGCUAUUUUUAUUUAAGAGUGGCUUUGCUUUCAUUAGUGCCAACCUUAUGCAUUUUUAAUAUGAACUCUUGGUUUUGGUCUGUUUUUGGUAGAAGCUUCAAUGAUUUCAAAUUCUUUUCAGCAGUUAUAACACUAGAAUGAAAACUGCUUCUCAAAUCUACUUCGCCUCAAGGAGCUGGGUCUUCAAGAAAAGAAACAUGAUCAGCAGACUCACAAAAUUGUAUGAGCUGGUAACAGCAGGGUUUUGCUGCCCGAUCUUAAGCAAUUACAACUACUGCUUACAAUGGGGUAUGUUCCUGACAGCAGAAUGGCAACAACUUUAGGUACUGGCCCCUAAGGAGCAGUGAAACCACACUAACCAUACUGAGAAAGUGAGCCCAACUAUCUUGCUUCUGUAGGUUUUUCAGAAAUAGUGUCUUCCUGCCAGAGACGUGAUGGAAAUCAGCUGGCUAGGUCAGCCCUCUGCCCUUCUUUCCCUAGCGCUGGUAAUCCUCAUGUGUCCCAUUAGAGCAAAGAGCUGCCAGUUAUGCCAGUAACAAAGCUCACAACAGCUCUGCCUGCUAUUGCUGAAGCAAAUGGGGAAAUGACAGAACUUCUUGUUCCUGUUGCCCAGAAGCAUUAAAUCUGUUUUUUAAAGCAAAAGACUGUAACAACUCUCUAUGUCCUGCUCACGCUGUCUGUGAAAAGCUCUCAGGAAGAAGUAGACAGAGCAGGGAACUGGGAGGUGGGAACUCAAGUCUUUGCUCUUGGCUCUAUUUUGGUCUAAUAUCUUCUCAUCUGUGGAACAUUAACCACUUUUUUGGAGGGCUGGAGUGGGGAGGGAAGACCAAGUGCACCACUUAAAAGAUGUCUGGGGAGAUGAGAUGUUUUAAAAAUAUGCAUAGAUGCAGCAACCUACAGAUGAUCAGAAAACCUGGCAACAUGGGGAAAGAGUGUGAAAGAGAGGUAAAGGGACUCAAUCUGGAGAAGGAAAGUCUUAGGUUAAACACUUCAGAGAAACUUCUUGACUGUCAGACCCGCCAUAUGUGUUAUACGUGUCUCCUAAAAGGAAAUGGAGGGCCCAUCCCUUGCUACUCUGAAAGCACCACUGCACCACACAAUGGAAAACACCCUGGGGGUGCAGGCCUCUCUGUGCGUAGAGGAGAGCAGAUGGGGUAGAGCGUCCGUGACACGACAAAAUAUGUUUCACCCCUAAUUUAGUCUUUGCUCUGUAUGUGACUUCCUGUGUACAGCAGUUGUAGCAAAUUAAGAGUUCGACUCCCCUUCCCCUCUGAGACAUCACAGGAUGCUGCACAGCGAAAAAGAAUAAAACAAGCAUUAAUAGUUACUGAUCCAGGUUCUGCCAAAUCUAAAAACCGUUAUAAAGGAUUAUAAUUGUCAUGCUACAUACAGUUUAUGCUGAUUUGGUUUGAUCAGUGCUCAGUCCUUCCCCACACCAAAAUCUGCUUCGAUAGCCUGUCGAGGACUUUUCUUGUAAUGAACAUGCCUGCUCUUUUACCCUUGCCUGUAGGGCAGGCCAGCACAGAUAAGAAGGACUGUGAUGUUAACACCUGGGUGUUACCAGAACUGCCCAGCUGAGCUAUAUGCUGGAAAUCUUCAAAGAAAAAUUAUAGUGGUGCCUCAAGCACACUGUUCCCUCACUUUGUUGCAUGUCCCCUGCUGCUGGGGCCACACCAACACACACACAAAAGUUUCCAGGAAGACAUUAUAAAAUAUUUAGUAAGAUCUGUGUUUAGCUGAAAUACCAAAAGUUCUCUUUCGUCAUUUGAGGUUUUGCCAAUGUUGCAAUUGCCUAUCUUCUCUGCCUCUCCUAAAAAUAAAUGUCUUUUUUCCUCUACCACUUAAAAAAAGUUUGAAAAUCUAGCAAAUCCAGUCUCACGUGAGUGAAGCAAGCACAAUCACUCCCAUUUUAUAUGAAUGGGAAAAGAAGCAAGGAGUGCUGAAAUGCCUCGUUGCAGAGUGUGCUACAUGGGAGAAGGCUUGGACUUAAACAGCAGGGAAUCCUGACUCCUAUUUCUGUACUCCUUUCCAUCAGCAGCAUGCCCAGUAACAGCCAAGAGCUCCUCUACUCUUGAAGUUCGAGGCACACAGCGGGAAGAAAGGAGAGAGGUGUCCUCGGGGCAAUCUUUCUUCCCCACCCCUUUCCCUGUUAUCUGUGGGAAAACUUCAGGCGAGCCAGAGUAAAAUCACGCUGCUGUGGAGGAUCUUCUGGGAUAAAGCAGCAUCUAUAAGAUUGUCUAAGGUGUUCCUAUAUGCAAAAAAAUAUUUCUGUAUCUGUUCUGCUCAGGAAAAAGAAAUCCAGUCAUCACAAGUGCCAGUAAAACAGACUCUAGGGGGAAGUUUCAUCUGAGUGAUAAAACGAUGCAUUUGUGGACCUCUGGAUUUUGCAGCUUCCCACACAAUUCUUUUCAAUACGAGUGAGAUCAGACCAGAAAGUUCACUUCAGGCCAAAUGACUGCUGUUCCUGCUACAUGCAACAUGUGGGGGAGAGGCACAAGGCAACCAUUCACCCUGUCAUACCUGCAAAAGACGUAGCAGAACUAGUUCUGCCAUGCAGAGAAACACUUUGUGUAAUACUUGCUGGCAUCUUGCAUUUUGGCGGUAAAGGACGGACCACGGUGCUCCUAUAGGAUGCUAGAUCAACAGAAAGGAGAUGCAGGGACAUGGCAAUUCUUUGUUUAGAGAGCACUGCAGAAGAAAGCCUUUGAGUGUAUGUGAGACUUUGAUUCAGAUAUUCGUGUCCCCAUGGCUGUAUAAUUUGGGUGUGUCUGUGUGGGUGUUGAAUCUGGGAAAGUAUGUUUGUGAGGGUGGUGGAUUAGCAAAGGGUGGAGGGAGCUGUGGGUCUCUGCAAGACUGAUUUAAUCUCUGUACUUUCUGGAGGUGUUUGGUCAGAAUAUAUUAGGCCCUGCCUGUCAGUACCAGUACCUGAGACUUCUGUCUGUGUAUCUGUCUGUAUUUGGUGGGUAAUGUCCACAGCAUUUUUCAAAAAUUUAAUAUUAUUAACCAGCAUCUGUUACCAACUUGGGUUUUUUUGACCCCCUCGAAACUGGGGUAUCAACCUUUCCUGCUCCCACUCAAGUAACUUAAUUCUCAACUGAAGAAAAGGGGAUAGAGUAACCACGGAAAAAAACACUUGUAUUUCAAAGAUCAAUCAACUCUAAAAGCCAACAUCCUGUUUUGUGUUGGGUUUAUACCUCAGUGCCUGUAGCCCUCCUCUGACAAUGGCAAGCUGACAAGAAGUGAACAUGAGCAGUAUUUUCUAUGGGAAACUUGCUUUUUGAACCCGCCUUUUCAAUAACUGUGCUCUGAAAUAUCUGCUCCCGCCAACCCAACCCUAGCCCCUCAGCAUUAAACUAGCACUGCAAACUUUAAACCUCACCCUCCUCUUCAGGGAGUUAUCAGCAGGAAAUGAAGUCAGCUGGAACACUUUGUACUAUUGACAUUUUUUGCUCUAAUUCUGCAGCUGCACUUGAGCACAUCUGAAAACGCACAGGCACACACACUCACAUACGUGCUCAUGCGCGUGCACACACACGCGCAAGCACGCAGGCUAGCAUGCCAGGCAUUGUAUACCUCUGGGAACUGAUGUGAAUGGAUAAGCCCCAUUACCAAAGAUGCUGUAACUAAAUGGAGGGACGUGGUUAUAAGUGAUUCUAGCUAAGCUGUACUGGACAGAGAGUGCAAGAUAUAGAGUGUUGCAUGGUGGCCACAUAAUAAAAUAGCUGAUAGAGAGAUACUAACUGAAAGGUUGAAUCAUUUCACGUUUCUUUUGCCAGCUUGUGUCUGACUGCUAACAUCAUGGCUCUGUACAAAUUAACCAGGCUUCUUGGCUCCCAGGUUUUGGGCAAUAGUCUGUCCCUAAAAUGAAGUAAACAUAGGAAAAUGCUGUACUGUACAGGGAGCAUUUCACCUACAAUGCUUUGCCUCAGCGGCUCUGCUCUUAGCAGCAGGAUCACACUGAGAUACACCAUCCUCAUUCAUACCAGGCAACUCAGGUCUGGUCAGUGGUGUACAGAUGGCUAGUGUCAUCUCUUGCAGCACUUGAAUUUCUUUGAAGAGCUCUUAUUUCCAAGUGCCGAUCCACUUGACGUCAGAGAACAAACUGAACUGGGGUACUAAAAGGCACGGCUUCAUCCCAUUAUAUUUACACAGUGAUGGGACAAAUAUUACCAACAUCAAUCAUUGCCAGCCUGUUUCUAGACUGGAUAACUCUUCUACUAGUUACUAGUUUUAUUAUGAAACAAGACGAAAUAUAAAUAAAUAAAAAGUUACAUGCAGAACAUAAGAGCUGACACAAUCCCUAGUAUCCAUGCUGGAUACAACUACGUUUUGUAUUGUUUUCAGGCCAGUCCUACUGAACACCUCUCAACGUCAUAGAAACCAGUGGCAGAGGUGGCCCUCUCAACAGCUUCCUCAGCAUGCAGGCCAAGGUCUGACUGAACAGCAGAUUUUUCUGACUGAAAACUAAACACCAUUUCUGAUGCCUAGCAGGUUAUGCUUAGAGAAAGUUUACAUUGCCAUUGUCUGUGUGGCAGCUAUUAAAAAGAUAAAAAGGCUUUUUGCUGAAUGCCAGUCCAGCACUGUAUUCAUUUUACCUCUUGUUUAAUAAAUAUACAAAUGAAAGGAGCAGAAGAUAAAUUCCCAGGCAACUUGAAUUGGGAACUUUGAGGACAAGAAUAAAUAAAUGCAUUACACACAAGCAUGCAACACUUUUCUGUGUUCGGCAAAGUUCUGUGUUGUAUGCAAUUUCCUAAUAGUAGUUGCGCUGCAUAGUUGGACAGGGCUGGUAUCUCCUGAAGCUGAUAUCUCACCAAUGUUUUUAGAAACAAUUUGCAUGGUGGGGCUCAUGUGGCACCAAGCAUUGGCACUUCAAAGCACUGAGUACUUCAGCUUUUGCCAGAGCUGACUCAGAGGUCAAUUGCUUCUGUCAAAUACAGCAGCAAGUAACUUUAAUCACUUAUCACUUGAAGGCAGAGACCUGGCCUAGCUCACAAAUCAAGCACUAUUCACAGUAAGACUGCACAGCCUGCAAGUGUUAUCUGCUCGAGGAAAGGGUCCUGUUCUUGAACAGACUACAUGAUCUAGACAGGAAGGCUGGCCCAGCUCAGAGCUAGACUGUAUAUCUGAAGAGAAAACUUGCCUGGCCCAUAGCACAACUACACUAUCUAAAGAGAGAGCUGGCUCAGGGAAAAAUCUACUAUAAAGAUGGCAGAGAGAACAUGACGACACAUAAGCUGGAUGGAGACCUUGCACGGCUUCUGGCUAAAAUACACGUUCUGCAGAGAUGUGGCUUCCAGAUUCAGCUUGUGGCCCAUGGCAUGUAAGCCAGGCUGAAAUUAAGAUCAUUCCACUAACUGGCCAACCCCCGUGGAGGGAGUAAAGUGGCUCAAUCUAUGGCAAGAUAUUACUGUACAUUUAUUGUUUUUGUAACGUAGAUAAGAACACGAGUUGAAAAGGAGAACUAGCGGCUAGCAAUACUUUCUUGAUCUUGUUACGCAAGGAUCCUGGAAGACCCUCAACUCCUUGCAUCAGAAUAGAAAGAGCCCUUCUCCUUUCUCUGAGAUGUAGUUGAGGAAGUGAGAGAGGCCUGGAGAUUUACUCCAGAUAAUACAUUGCUUCAGAGCAAGCUGAAGGAGUUAAAGACCUUGUCCUUUGCCCUGCAAGUUUGCCCAACACUGCUCAGUCAGGGAGCACAGUGUCAAUACAAGCCCUGUUCAGUCAGUGCAACGUGCGAUACAGGCUAUACGCUGGUGUGCAUUGCUUGCUGCAGACAGCACUCAGCUUAAUAAAUCCUAUUCUCCUUAGCACAGAGAGCCAAUACUAUUCACCUUAAUAAAUCCCAUUCAACCCUGAACACCCAUCGGACUCAUCAGCCCUGUGCCCGUGAGGAGACUGUGAGCAGGUGCACUGCACCCAGCCACUGCAAGCUGAGCAGCCGAGGCUGGGACAACAGCACCCCUUCGUGGGUGCUGACAGGGAAGCCAGUGAGAGCCUUUCAAGGCUGAAAUGCGAGAGAAGGCCAAGGAAAACCUGGUGCAUGUGUUGCUACUGUUUGGAUGACUCACUUUCUCUUGUCCUCUUAAAUCCCACUUUGCACGUCCAGUUGUGGCAGAGGAAGUGCAGGAUGAUUUUGUGUGCUCUCCAAAAGGUUCAUUUUGAAUCUCCUUUCACAGAGUGGUCAGUGAUGGGGCUGUGCACUACCAGUAACAUGCACUGCUCCUGGCAAACGAGAGAUGGCUACACUCUGCAAAUACAUUCUGUUAAUAAAUUUAAACUGUAUAACAUAA